GGGCCCGCACAAGCGGUGGAGUAUGUGGUUUAAUUCGAUGCAACGCGAAGAACCUUACCAGGGUUUGACAUCCUGCGAAUUUCUGGGAAACCGGAAAGUGCCUUCGGGAGCGCAGUGACAGGUGGUGCAUGGCUGUCGUCAGCUCGUGUCGUGAGAUGUUGGGUUAAGUCCCGCAACGAGCGCAACCCACGUCUUUAGUUGCCAGCAUUUAGUUGGGCACUCUAGAGAGACCGCCGGUGAUAAACCGGAGAAGGUGUGGAUGACGUCAAGUCAUCAUGCCCCUUACAUCUGGGCUACACACGUACUACAAUGCUACGGACAAAGGGCAGCAAACUCGCGAGAGCUAGCAAAUCCCAUAAACGUGGCUCAG
rnacentral:rRNA from 1 species